rnacentral:rRNA from 1 species
GAUGAACGCUAGCGGCAGGCCUAAUACAUGCAAGUCGAACGAGAUUCUAGUCUUCGGAUUAGAUGAAAGUGGCGCACGGGUGCGUAACGCGUAUGCAACCUACCCUUAACAGGGGGAUAGCCCGGAGAAAUUCGGAUUAAUACCCCAUAGUAUCACGAGAUGGCAUCUGAAAGUGAUUAAAGAUUUAUCGGUUAAGGAUGGGCAUGCGUAACAUUAGAUAGUUGGUGAGGUAACGGCUCACCAAGUCAGCGAUGUUUAGGGGUUCUGAGAGGAUGAUCCCCCACACUGGUACUGAGAUACGGACCAG